ACAACUUUCUCCACUCUCUUCUGACGUUAUUUAUCAGCAGAAAGAACAAAAAAAUCAAAGUUCAUCACUUGAAGAACUUGCACACAAAAACUCAAAAGAAAAGCUAAACUAAAAACGAAAAGCAAAAAAAUUGUUCUUGACGGGUUGUGCUUGAAGUUUGGUGGUGAGGCUUUGGUAUCAUGGAGUUGGCUGCCAUUGGAUCAGAUUUGAAAGGUGUUAAACGACGAAAAAAAGGUGCAGGUUCAAGAGGGUGUUGAAGACAUUCAUUGCAGCUGUUCGGACAUCAGAGUUUUUCAUCCGGACUUGAUAGGUCCCCAUGCAUUCGAGGACUCCUGCCGCUAUGUUUCUAGUUUAGUAAUAGGUUUAGGCUAGUGGAGCAUGUUCCACUAGUAUUUCUUUCCUAUUUUGUUCAGACUUGUGUAAUGGUGUCAUUUUGGCGAUUGUUACUUAAACUAUAAGACUAUUUAUUUCAAGA